GCUCGAGCUCCCCAACUUCUUUUUUCUACCACUUUCUCCUAUCUCUACCACUAUGAGAUUGAGUAACUCCCUAAUCAGAAAACCUGAUUCUCAUUUCUUGCCUAUCCCUAAACUCUGCCUGCUUCUUCUUUUAAUCAUCAACCUGCUGCAUAUGAACAGUCAACCUCAAGAUAUCCAUAUCUAUAAUCAACAAGGCAGUAUUACUCACUAGAAUAAAA
rnacentral:lncRNA from 1 species